UCUACUGUCUGCUGACUGAAAGUCUGUUCAACUUUCUCCUUUGAGCAGGCAGGCAGUUGGGUUGUCAGACAGUCUGCGGCUUUCUUGCUGGGAUGGCAGGGUCCAGCUCUAUCGGCAUCUCUUGGAUGGCCGAUUUAGCCAUCAGAGCCUGCCUCAAAUAGGACUGAUUUCCAUCGGACUCUUUCUCAUAACUUUCAUCGUUACACCGAUUGAGACCGGGGCCACUCUACAGCCUCGCGCUCCAAACUUUCAAUAUUUUGAGAGACCGAAGUACCGGUAUCCUUACUACGAUGAGAACGGAAGAGGCAAGCUGCUAUACGGCUAUGGUGGACCUGACCUCUACCAAUACAAAUCAUAUUCACCUCUAGAAGGAAUCCAUUGACAUCAUCAUGGAUCAUCAUCAUCAUCAUGAUCACAUCGCUUGCAUCACUGCCAGAAUGUAUUAAAUCAUUUACUUUAAGCAUAAUUUUAAUUUAGUUUUACGAAAAUACCUUGAGACAAGGCCAUGGGUGGUUUCAUGUUACCAAUGAGAAUGGCAAAGCUUGUAUACGAGGCUUAUCAAUUUUGCUGCGCUGAAAACCUCUAGUAUUAGUUGUUCAAGCUCAGCAUUUUGAAGUAAAGCUUUCAUAAAUGUACAAGUUCUGUCUCUAAAUAGUUGUAAGAUUAUCACAAUAAUAUUAUCAAUGUCAUCAUUCACUUAAAAUCAUCAUACUGUAAGUGCAUCACUACUAACACUCCUUAGUUUCAGUUCAUUCAAUGUAUUACUACUACAACAACACUAUGACUGCCCCAUGUCAAAGCUUGUUUCAUUAGUAUUACUUUGCAUUCUUCAAUUGAUUAAUCUUCCAACCAUUAUUAGCCAUAUCUAAAUUCAAAUCAUUAAUGUUUAUUGUAUUACUAUUCUAGUCAAUUAAUUUUUUUUUUUUUACUUUUACUACUGUAAAGUAGCUGAAA